rnacentral:rRNA from 1 species
AACGAACGCUGGCGGCGUGCCUAACACAUGCAAGUCGAACGUGAUUGGAAGCUUGCUUCCAUGAAAGUGGCGCACGGGUGAGUAACGCGUAGAUAAUCUGCCUGGUGAUCUGGGAUAACACUUCGAAAGGGGUGCUAAUACCGGAUAAGCCCACGGGGUCUUUGGACUCUGCGGGAAAAGGAGGGGACCUUCGGGCCUUCCGUCAUCAGAUGAGUCUGCGUACCAUUAGCUAGUUGGUAGGGUAAAGGCCUACCAAGGCGACGAUGGUUAGCUGGUCUGAGAGGAUGAUCAGCCAAACUGGAACCGGAACACGGUCCAGACUCCUACUGGAGGCAGCAGUGGGGAAUCUUGCGCAAUGGGCGAAAGCCUGACGCAGCAACGCCGCGUGAGUGAUGAAGGCUCUUGGGUCGUAAAGCUCUGACAGAGGGAAAGAAGUGUGUGGAGGUUAAUACCCUUUGCACUUGACGGUACCCUCAAAGGAAGCACCGGCUAACUCCGUGCCAGCAGCCGCAGUAACAC